GAUGAACGCUGACAGAAUGCUUAACACAUGCAAGUCUACCAAGAAUCACUUCGGUGAGGAAUGGUGGCGGACGGGUGAGUAACGCGUAAAUAAUCUGCCCUUUAGACUGGGAUAUCCUUUGGAAACGAAGGUUAAUACCGGAUAUUAUGAGAUGGACGCAUGUUCAACUUAUGAAAGCUAAAUGCACUAGAGGAGGAGUUUGCGUCCCAUUAGCGAGUUGGUGAGGUAAAGGCUCACCAAGGCCACGAUGGGUAGCCGGCCUGAGAGGGUGAACGGCCACAAGGGAACUGAGACACGGUCCUUACUCCUACGGGAGGCAGCAGUGGGGAAUAUUGGACAAUGGACCAAAAGUCUGAUCCAGCAAUUCUGUGUGCACGAUGAAGGUCUUCGGAUUGUAAAGUGCUUUCAGUAGGGAAGAAAAAAAUGACGGUACCUACAGAAGAAGCGACGGCUAAAUAUGUGCCAGCAGCCGCCGUAACAC
rnacentral:rRNA from 1 species